AUGCUUGCAAGAAAUGGGGUGUUGUGGGCCCUCCGCACUAUUUUGCAUGGAUGUCGCCUUUUACAGUCGGCCAUCUCCUUUCCUCUUGCACUGGUUCCAUCUCUCUAUCUCUCUCUCUCUCUCUCUCUCUCUCUCUGUGUGUGUGUGUGUGUGUGUGUGUGUGUGUGUGUGUUCACUUUGGCUCUCAGCUACCCAUCGAUGUUUCUACUGCCCCGACCCACCUAUUCAUGCGUGUCGCUUGGUGCUAUGCACAGUGUGUCUACUCUGCAGGGUGUUACACACUACCGUUCAGCUUUGAGCUACAACGCCGCACAACCCAGCAACUGCAGCACACGCUAUACAGGGUGUCCACCCGCACAACACGGCCACCACAACUGUUGUGAGAUAUGGUACUUCUACGAAGUUGUGAAUGGAAAGGAGCAUUUGAGUGGCAGGGAAAAACACAAAGCAGAGCACAUAUUGCAGACCAGCAGUAGCAAGCAGUCCAUCAAACAUACCAUGGCCAUCUCAAAAGCUUUGAUCCUUAGCAUCCUCGGGUGCCUCUGCUUCUGCAGUUCGGUCCUAGCAGCUCGGGAGCUCAACAAUGACUUGUCAAUGGUGGCAAGGCAUGAGAGUUGGAUGGUGCAGUACAACCGUGUGUACAAGGACACUACUGAGAAGACACAUCGAUUUGAGGUGUUCAGGGCCAAUGUCGGGUUCAUCGAGUCGUUUAACGCCGAGAACCACAAGUUCUAUUUGGGCAUCAAUCAGUUCACUGACCUGACCAACGAGGAGUUCAAGGCACAAAGGCUAACAAGGGGUACAAACCAAGCUUGGAGAGGGUGCCUACCGGAUUCAGGUACGAGAAUGUAA
rnacentral:rRNA from 1 species